CCCUGUAUCGAAAGUGACCAUGGUGUGAUUGUCGCCGGGUCAUUGAUAGUACAGGAACAACAAAUUUGAAAGCUUUCCCGUGUUUGUUGGAAUCCAUGUUCCUGUCAAACCCUGUAUCUUUCAUACA